rnacentral:rRNA from 1 species
AGGACGAACGCUGGCGGCGUGCUUAACACAUGCAAGUCGAGCGGAAAGGCCCUUCGGGGUACUCGAGCGGCGAACGGGUGAGUAACACGUGAGUAAUCUGCCCCUAGCUCUGGGAUAGCUCCGGGAAACCGGGAUUAAUACCAGAUACGACCACUUUAGACAUCUGCUGUGGUGGAAAGAAUUUCGGCUAGGGAUGAGCUCGCGGCCUAUCAGCUUGUUGGUGAGGUAACGGCUCACCAAGGCGACGACGGGUAGCCGGCCUGAGAGGGCGACCGGCCACACUGGGACUGAGACACGGCCCAGACUCCUACGGGAGGCAGCAGUGGGGAAUAUUGCGCAAUGGGCGAAAGCCUGACGCAGCGACGCCGCGUGGGGGAUGAAGGCCUUCGGGUUGUAAACCCGUUUCAGCAGGGACGAAGCGAAAGUGACGGUACCUGCAGAAGAAGCGCCGGCUAACUACGUGCCAGCAGCCGC